GGGUCGUUAGCUCAGCUGGUAGAGCAGUUGACUUUUUAAUCAAUUGGUCGCAGGUUCGAAUCCUGCACGACCCA
rnacentral:tRNA from 1 species